UACGGAGGGGGCUAGCGUUGUUCGGAAUUACUGGGCGUAAAGCGCACGUAGGCGGCUUUGUAAGUUAGAGGUGAAAGCCCAGGGCUCAACCCUGGAAUUGCCUUUAAGACUGCAUCGCUUGAACAUCGGAGAGGUAAGUGGAAUUCCGAGUGUAGAGGUGAAAUUCGUAGAUAUUCGGAAGAACACCAGUGGCGAAGGCGGGUCUCUGGGCAACAACUGACGCUGAGGAGCGAAAGCGUGGGGAGCGAACAGG
rnacentral:rRNA from 1 species